UUUUGUAUUAGUUUUAUCAAAAUAUUGUUAGUAAUAAAAUUAUUUAAAGUAUUAUUUAAAGAAAUGAAUUUAUAAUAGAACUAUAGGGGUUAGUACUGUGAAGGAAUAUUGAAAUAGUAUGAAAAAUUAAAAAUUAAUAAAGAAAGUGUCAAUCACUGUACCUUUUGUAUGAUGGUUUAAUGAGAAAAUUAAGGGUAGUCGUUGUUUCCCGAAGCUAGUUGAGCUAGUGCACUCUAUUUUUAGAUUAAGGUUUUUACUGUUGCAAUAGUAAGAUGUGAGGGUGUACUAGGUGUGAAAUGCUAAUCGCAACUAGUGAUAGCUGGUUUUUCAAGAAAUUAAUUUAAGUUAAGCGGUAGGGUUUUAUUUUGUAGUAGUCUCCUUUAAGGGAAAAUUUUAGUAAAAAAUAAAAUCUUAUUAGUUAGACAUGCAGGGAUAAGCUUGCUUGUCAAUAAGAAAAAACUUUUUUUAUAAAUUAAGAACAUUACACAAAAUAAUGUUCUGGUUGGGCAGAUUAAGUAGGAUUAGUAGCAUCUAGCUUUGUUAAUAGCGUUAAAGCUUCUUUAAGAUAAAGCCAUGGGACAAAGGAUUUUGUACAAAUGUUUUGAAGUUGUAAUUUUUUAUUGAAGAAUUUUAUUAGUGUUAAAAGGUAAUAUGUUAAAAUUAGUAAGGGUAUAAAAUCUUUUGGGUAUUAAUCACUUCUAACUUUGGAUGGAUAAAUUCUAGUUGAUAAUCGAGAAAAAAGAUUAUAUUGGUGUCUUCCAACUCAGGGGAUUGUUAAGUAUAAAAAUUAAGGAAAAGGAACUCGGCAAAUAAAAUUUCGCCUGUUUACCAAAAACAUCGCCCUUUGAAAGGUUUUAACCAAAAAAUAAAGGGUACUGCCUGCCCAGUGACGUAGUAGUUUAACGGCCGCGGUAUCUUGACCGUGCAAAGGUAGCAUAAUCAUUUGCCUUUUAAAUGGAGGCUGGAAUGAAUGGCAAGACGGAAAUUUGGCUGUCUCUUUCUUAAUAACCCUGAAUUUUAUAUCCUAGUGAAGAAGCUAGGAUAGGAUCGUGGGACGAGAAGACCCUGUUGAGCUUUAACAAUAAGAGUAUCCACAAUUUUUUUAUUAUUAACUAAUUAAAGCAAAAGAAGCAGUUUGCUUAUGGAUCUAUUUUUAAUAUAAAAGGUGUUUUACUUGUGUUGUUUUGGUUGGGGCAACCGCGGAGUAUAAGAAACCUCCGCUUUAAAAAGUGAAAAAGUACAGUUUUUGUUUAGGAAGUUUCUAUUAAGUGAUCCACCACGUAAGGUGAUCAAAGGAAAAAGUUACCACAGGGAUAACAGCGUAAUUUUUUUGGAGAGUUCAUAUUGAUAAAAAAGUUUGCGACCUCGAUGUUGGAUCGAGACUUCCUGGGGGUGCAGCAGCUCCCAAGGGUUGGUCUGUUCGACCAUUAAAGUCUUACGUGAUCUGAGUUCAGACCGGCGAGAGCCAGGUCAGUUUCUAUCUACGAUUAAGAUUUUUCUUUUAGUACGAAAGGACCAAAGAAAAAGUGUCUAUGCUUAAAAGUAAGCACUACUUAAAUUUCUGAAUAAAAAUUAAGAAGUAAGAGUUUUGUCUAAAAUU
rnacentral:rRNA from 1 species